rnacentral:misc_RNA from 1 species
AGAAAAGUUAAACCCAUAAAAGCAAAUUGAUAACUUAAAAAUUGUUGGUCGGAUUCUAUUCAGUUCUCAAGGGGUAUUUUAAAAGCAGUUAUUAAGUUUUUUCUUUAAAGCUUUUGAACUUAAUAACACUUUAAGUUAACCUUGUAAACAUUAUUAAGUUUACCUUUCAAAGAUCAAAGAACAAUUAUUAAAACCUUUUUGAUCAGAUAACUAAUAAACUAACUAACUAAAUCAUUGAUGCAUAAUUAACUGCAUCAAUGAUUUUUUUUGUUAUUUUUACCGCAAAAAAUGCAGAUUCAUCUGUUCAAACCAAUUAUUUAAAAAGGCUUUUUUUUAUUAUUAAUCAUUCGUUAUUUUUUACUUGUGAUUUUAGCUUUAAAUCUUAUAAAAAAAUUUAAUGAUAAAAGUUUUUUUAGAAAAGUGUUGUGCAAACUGAUUUGUUGUGCUAUAAUCUUUAAGGCUUAUAUAGCUACAUUGUUCUUUGAAAACUGAAUACGACAAAUCUUUCUAGUCCGAAAUUUGAUUAAAGUAUCAAAUCAAAUUUCAUAUAAUAUAGAUUCAAUAAAAAUAGCUAAGGAUCAAAUACAUAAGUUACUAAGGG